AUCCUGGCUCAGGAUGAACGCUGGCGGCGUGCCUAAUACAUGCAAGUCGAACGCACAGCGAAAGGUGCUUGCACCUUUCAAGUGAGUGGCGAACGGGUGAGUAACACGUGGAUAACCUACCUCAAGGUUGGGGAUAACAUUUGGAAACAGAUGCUAAUACCGAAUAAAACUUAGUAUCGCAUGAUACCAGGUUAAAAGGCGCUACGGCGUCACCUAGAGAUGGAUCCGCGGUGCAUUAGUUAGUUGGUGGGGUAAAGGCUUACCAAGACAAUGAUGCAUAGCCGAGUUGAGAGACUGAUCGGCCACAUUGGGACUGAGACACGGCCCAAACUCCUACGGGAGGCUGCAGUAGGGAAUCUUCCACAAUGGGCGAAAGCCUGAUGGAGCAACGCCGCGUGUGUGAUGAAGGCUUUCGGGUCGUAAAGCACUGUUGUAUGGGAAGAACAGCUAGAGUAGGGAAUGACUUUAGUUUGACGGUACCAUACCAGAAAGGGACGGCUAAAUACGUG
rnacentral:rRNA from 1 species